ACGAGGGGGGCGAGCGUUGUUCGGAAUUAUUGGGCGUAAAGGGUGCGUAGGCGGUUUGGUAAGUCUGAUGUGAAAUCUCUGGGCUCAACUCAGAGUCUGCAUCGGAAACUGAUCGGCUUGAAGGUGGGAGAGGGUAGCGGAAUUCCCGGUGUAGUGGUGAAAUGCGUAGAUAUCGGGAGGAACACCAGUGGCGAAGGCGGCUACCUGGCCCAUUCUUGACGCUGAGGCGCGAAAGCUAGGGGAGCAAACGGGA
rnacentral:rRNA from 1 species